rnacentral:lncRNA from 13 species
GGUCAGGUCACUGUCUCCAUGUAAUUCCAUUGUGAUAGUCUGUCUCAGAUUCCAUAUAUGGUGAACUACUUCCAUCUGAGACGCAGAGAGAUUAUGACGUAUGGGGCCCGGGUCAAAAGUAGUCCACUAUAAUGGGAACUGGAUGCUAUUUGGGAUGUAUCCCUGUGUCUGCACUUAUUAUCGUUAUUACCAUGUCAUCUAGUUUUUCUGGGAGUUUGAUAAUGUAAGAGCGCUGCGCCGUGAUAUACCCUCUGAAUCUAGAUCACACCAUCUGCAUACCAAGCUCAUAUAUUUAUCAGUAAUUUUGUACGCUUGGGCCAGUGAAUCAAUCAUUAGAACGUGAUCAGUGAGUUAACGACUUAUAGAGUAGUUAGGUGUUAGAGAAUUAGUGAUAUUUUUAUGCUACUCUACAAGUCUCCUUUAUCCCAACACCAUCCACAUUACCAGGUGGUGAGAGGGGGCUCUGGUGGAUCAGACCCCCAGGAACGGUGCUCCAUGCUGGGUGAUCAGACGGCGGGAGACGAUGCUGUGGUGGGGGUGGAGACCCACCGUGGGCCUGCUGAGAGCAGUGAUCUCACCAUGACUGACAAGGAGAGGCCUGGCUCUGCUGCUGCUGCUGCCAGAGAAAGCAACGAGACCGUGAGAAGGAACGCUGACAGUGAUGGAACCCUAGAUGAUCAGUGUUCUAUGUGUUUUACUCCUCUCCACAAGAGGAAGAACAAUGGCUCCAAUGAGAACGACAAUCAGAAAAGUUUGGCAUCCAGCCGAACUCACUGUACCAAGUCUGACACCAGGUAUGAAUAAGUCAGUAGGUCUCUUGCCCUGAAGGGCUGGGUGGUGCAUGGCAGUUAUAGGCUCUUCACUGCAAAACAGCGGUUUGUUGCACGAACCGUUGCCCUCUUCCUCUUUUGUCACUGGGUGGGGUGUGGCUCGUCAUCUAGUUGUUGCCAUGACAACCCUCUUGUGUGAGUGUUGAGGCAUCACAGGAGUCUGAGGGUGUUUUCAAAUAUAGUCCUCUUUAAAAUAACUGAUCUCAGUCCUCUUUAAAGUGAACUCUGGGGUAAAAAAAAAGUGAAAGAACUCAGUUCUCUUUGUAUUCACACUGCCCUUGAGGACUCAACUCUUUUGCCAGUUCACUUCACCUAUUUUGUGAUCCGAGUCAUCUUUGCAAUCACAUUGCUAUGUUUAGAAAGGAAACAAGAUCUUUUCCCAACAUUCACUCAGUGCACUCUGGGUUUUAACCAUGUGCAGGACAAGCCAUUCCAUUAGAAUGUGUUAUCAGACAGCUAGAUAUACACUAUAUAUACAAAAUUAUGUGGACACCCCUUCAAAUGAGUGGAUUUGGCUAUUUCAGCCACACCAGCUGCCCCAGUCAACUGUAAGGGCUGUUAUUUUGACGUGGAAACGUCUAAGAGCAACAACGGCUCAGCCGCAAAGUGUAAAGCCACACAAGCUCACAGAACGGGACUGCCGAGGACUGAAGAGUAUAAAAAUCGUCUGUCCUCAGUUGCAACACUUACUAUCGACUUCCAAACUGCCUCUGGAAGCAAGGUCAUCACAAUAACUGUUUGUCGGGAGCUUCAUGAAAUGGGUUUCCAUGGCCGAGCAGCCGCACACAAGCCUAAGACCACCAUGCGCAAUGCCAAGCUGCAGCUGGGUGACCACAUACUUUUGGUCAUGUAGUGUACCUACUGACAUUUUGGAAGCUGAUAGAUUAUGUUUAGUUAAAAUAUGAGACAAUAGUUGUAAUCAGAAGAUACUAUUAACAUGUAAAUAUUAUUGGUUACAGAAUAAAUAAGAAUAAAUAACUGCAGAUUAAAUAAUGCUGUAAUUGACAAUUGUACACCGAAUUUAGGCUACUGGCCCUUUAAGAGCUAGAAUAGAUGUUGUACCCUAUGUUGUGGUUCUCACCAGAUAUAUUGUCUUCUCACACUAUUCAACCCCCAAUAAAAUAAACAGCUUCUGAAGUGCUCUCAGCCUAUAGAUCACAUAUUGCACACAAAUAAUCUGAACUAAAAACUCCACACAUAUUUAGGAAUUUCUGUGCAUCCUUGACAAUCGCUAAUCAAUAUAAAAAAAAACAGCACACAUUUUAUUCUGCACAUCAUCUUUUCUCUUUUGUGGCACCAAUGGAAACAGUGUUGCAGUAGUCUAGUGUGAGGGGUUAUAGCAGGGAAAACAGUGUUGCAGUAGUCUAGUGUGAGGGGUUAUGGCAGUAGUCUAGUGUGAGGGGUUAUAGCAGGGGAAACAGUGUUGCAGUAGUCUAGUGUGAGGGGUUAUAGCAGGGGAAACAGUGUUGCAGUAGUCUAGUGUGAGGGGUUAUAGCAGUAGUCUAGUGUGAGGGGUUANNNNNNNNNNNNNNNNNNNNNNNNNNNNNNNNNNNNNNNNNNNNNNNNNNNNNNNNNNNNNNNNNNNNNNNNNNNNNNNNNNNNNNNNNNNNNNNNNNNNUGACAGGGGAAACGGUGUUGCAGUAGUCUAGUGUGAGGGGUUAUAGCAGGGGAAACAGUGUUGCAGUAGUCUAGUGUGAGGGGUUAUAGCAGGGGAAACAGUGUUGCAGUAGUCUAGUGUGAGGGGUUAUGACAGGGGAAACAGUGUUGCAGUAGUCUAGUGUGAGGGGUUAUGUCAGUAGUCUAGUGUGAGGGGUUAUAGCAGGGGAAACAGUGUUGCAGUAGUCCAGUGUGAGGGGUUAUAGCAGGGAAAACAGUGUUGCAGUUGUCUAGUGUGUGGUGCAGGAAUAUUGACAAGGGAACCUGGGGAACUUUGUGUUCACAUUGCCCUAACACUCCUUUGGAGUGUUCACACUGCCCUAACACUCCUUUGGAGUGUUCACACUGCCCUAACACUCCAAAGGAGUGUUCACACUGCCCUAACACUCCAAAGGAGUGUUCACACUGCACAAAAAAAGGUGGGAAACACUGUGAUAUUCGACUGAUAUCAUCCCUCCUGUUGUAAUAGUGUGAAACGUUUAAAUCAUGAAAUAAUCUACAGCCCUCUGGGGAGGGAGAUGCCAGACAGAUAGUUUGUGUCCCAAAUGGCACCCUAUUCCUUUUGUAGUGCUCUACUUUUGACCAAGGCCCAUAGGGCUCAGCAUAGGGAACAGGGUCCCAUUUAAGAUUCAGCUAUAGGGGUAUCUGGUAUCUGGUGCUCAGGAACAAAGGUGUUAUGUUAGUAGUUAUUAGGAGGAGCCAGGAGUUUUUCCUUAAUAUGUGACCUGACUAUAGAAACCAUCAGGUCCUAGUUAUAGCUAUGUAGUUUAUAACUAGGGCCCAUAGUUUUUCCUAGUAAUAUCCAAACAUCCGGACAAAUGUAUAUUAUUAAUAUCAGACAGCUGGGUAACAUGAACAACACUUCAAGGAAAAUGUUACGGACAGCUGUUCUACGGGCUGGAUAAAUGAAAUCCAUCAUGGGCUUUUGUUUUGGUAUCAUUAAAGAAGCCGAGCAGCUUUUUAUAUUCUAAACCCUUUUUAUUUAACCUCUGACCCCUUUUACUACCAUGAAUAGUAGCUCUGCUGUUGAUGUUGACAUAAAGAGAUAAACUCUCAAGUCUGUUUAGUUCUGUUGACCUUCUGCUAAACCCUGUUCUGUGUGUGUGUGUGUGUGUGUGUGUGUGUGUGUGUGUGUGUGUGUGUGUGUGUGUGUGUGUGUGUGUGUGUGUGUGUGUGUGNNNNNNNNNNUGACAGGGGAAACGGUGUUGCAGUAGUCUAGUGUGAGGGGUUAUAGCAGGGGAAACAGUGUUGCAGUAGUCUAGUGUGAGGGGUUAUAGCAGGGGAAACAGUGUUGCAGUAGUCUAGUGUGAGGGGUUAUGACAGGGGAAACAGUGUUGCAGUAGUCUAGUGUGAGGGGUUAUGUCAGUAGUCUAGUGUGAGGGGUUAUAGCAGGGGAAACAGUGUUGCAGUAGUCCAGUGUGAGGGGUUAUAGCAGGGAAAACAGUGUUGCAGUUGUCUAGUGUGUGGUGCAGGAAUAUUGACAAGGGAACCUGGGGAACUUUGUGUUCACAUUGCCCUAACACUCCUUUGGAGUGUUCACACUGCCCUAACACUCCUUUGGAG